rnacentral:rRNA from 1 species
AUUGAACGCUGGCGGCAGGCCUAACACAUGCAAGUCGAAUGGUAACAGGAAACAGCUUGCUGUUUCGCUGACGAGUGGCGGACGGGUGAGUAAUGUCUGGGAAACUGCCUGAUGGAGGGGGAUAACUACUGGAAACGGUAGCUAAUACCGCAUAACGUCGCAAGACCAAAGAGGGGGACCUUCGGGCCUCUUGCCAUCAGAUGUGCCCAGAUGGGAUUAGCUAGUAGGUGGGGUAACGGCUCACCUAGGCGACGAUCCCUAGCUGGUCUGAGAGGAUGACCAGCCACACUGGAACUGAGACACGGCCCAGACUCCUACGGGAGGCAGCAGUGGGGAAUAUUGCACAAUGGGCGCAAGCCUGAUGCAGCCAUGCCGCGUGUAUGAAGAAGGCCUUCGGGUUGUAAAGUACUUUCAGCGGGGAGGAAGGGAGUAAAGUUAAUACCUUUGCUCAUUGACGUUACCCGCAGAAGAAGCACCGGCUAACUCCGUG